rnacentral:rRNA from 1 species
UUGGUCAUUUAGAGGAAGUAAAAGUCGUAACAAGGUUUCCGUAGGUGAACCUGCGGAAGGAUCAUUACCUAGAGUUGUAGGCUUUGCCUGCUAUCUCUUACCCAUGUCUUUUGAGUACCUUCGUUUCCUCGGCGGGUUCGCCCGCCGAUUGGACAAUUUAAACCAUUUGCAGUUGCAAUCAGCGUCUGAAAAAACUUAAUAGUUACAACUUUCAACAACGGAUCUCUUGGUUCUGGCAUCGAUGAAGAACGCAGCGAAAUGCGAUAAGUAGUGUGAAUUGCAGAAUUCAGUGAAUCAUCGAAUCUUUGAACGCACAUUGCGCCCCUUGGUAUUCCAUGGGGCAUGCCUGUUCGAGCGUCAUUUGUACCUUCAAGCUCUGCUUGGUGUUGGGUGUUUGUCUCGCCUCUGCGCGUAGACUCGCCUCAAAACAAUUGGCAGCCGGCGUAUUGACUUCGGAGCGCAGUACAUCUCGCGCUUUGCACUCAUAACGACGACGUCCAAAAGUACAUUUUUACACUCUUGACCUCGGAUCAGGUAGGGAUACCCGCUGAACUUAAGCAUAUCAAUAAG